UACGGGGGGGAGCAAGCGUUGUCCGGAUUUAUUGGGCGUAAAGAGCUCGUAGGCGGUGUGUCGCGUCGGCCGUGAAAACCUGCAGCUUAACUGUGGGCUUGCGGUCGAUACGGGCAUCACUGGAGUUCGGCAGGGGAGACUGGAAUUCCUGGUGUAGCGGUGAAAUGCGCAGAUAUCAGGAGGAACACCGGUGGCGAAGGCGGGUCUCUGGGCCGAUACUGACGCUGAGGAGCGAAAGCGUGGGGAGCGAACAGG
rnacentral:rRNA from 1 species